rnacentral:rRNA from 1 species
ACGCUGGCGGCGUGCUUAACACAUGCAAGUCGAACGAAAAGAGGGAAAGAGCUUGCUUUUUCCGGAAUUGAGUGGCAAACGGGUGAGUAACACGUAAACAACCUGCCUUUAGGAUGGGGACAACAGACGGAAACGACUGCUAGUACCGAAUAAGUUCCAAGAGCCGCAUGGCCCAUGGAAGAAAAGGUGGCCUCUACCUGUAAGCUAUCGCCUGAAGAGGGGUUUGCGUCUGAUUAGCUGGUUGGAGGGGUAACGGCCCACCAAGGCGACGAUCAGUAGCCGGUCUGAGAGGAUGAACGGCCACACUGGAACUGAGACACGGUCCAGACUCCUACGGGAGGCAGCAGUGGGGAAUCUUCCGCAAUGGGCGAAAGCCUGACGGAGCAACGCCGCGUGAGUGAUGACGGCCUUCGGGUUGUAAAACUCUGUGAUCCGGGACGAAAAGGCAGAGUGCGAAGAACAAACUGCAUUGACGGUACCGGAAAAGCAAGCCACGGCUAACUACGUGCCAGCAGCCGCGGUAAUACGUAGGUGGCAAGCGUUGUCCGGAAUUAUUGGGCGUAAAGCGCGCGCAGGCGGCUUCCCAAGUCCCUCUUAAAAGUGCGGGGCUUAACCCCGUGAUGGGAAGGAAACUGGGAAGCUGGAGUAUCGGAGAGGAAAGUGGAAUUCCUAGUGUAGCGGUGAAAUGCGUAGAGAUUAGGAAGAACACCGGUGGCGAAGGCGACUUUCUGGACGAAAACUGACGCUGAGGCGCGAAAGCGUGGGGAGCAAACAGGAUUAGAUACCCUGGUAGUCCACGCCGUAAACGAUGGAUACUAGGUGUAGGAGGUAUCGACCCCUCCUGUGCCGGAGUUAACGCAAUAAGUAUCCCGCCUGGGAAGUACGAUCGCAAGAUUAAAACUCAAAGGAA